rnacentral:rRNA from 1 species
AUCACCAACGGGGGUAAAGCACUGUUAUGGCUAGGGGGUCAUCGCGACUUACCAAACCAUUGCAAACUCAGAAUACCGUUGAGUGCGAGCUUGGGAGACAGACAUCGGGUGCUAACGUCCGGUGUCAAGAGGGAAACAACCCAGACCGCCGAUUAAGGUCCCGAAGACAUAGUUAAGUGGGAAACGAGGUGGGAAGGCUUAGACAGCCAGGAGGUUGGCUUAGAAGCAGCCAUCCUUUAAAGAAAGCGUAAUAGCUCACUGGUCGAGUCGUCCUGCGCGGAAGAUGUAACGGGGCUCAAACUAUGCACCGAAAUCGCGGAUAUCCGCAAGGAUAUGGUAGGAGAGCGUUCUGUAAGCCGAUGAAGGUGUCUUGAGAAGGAUGCUGGAGGUAUCAGAAGUGCGAAUGCUGACAUGAGUAGCGAUAAAGGGAGUGAAAAGCUCCUCGCCGAAAGCCCAAGGUUCCUGCGCAACGUUCAUCGGCGCAGGGUGAGUCGGCCCUAAGGCGAGGCUGAAAAGCGUAGUAC